rnacentral:rRNA from 1 species
CCUACGGGAGGCAGCAGUGGGGAAUAUUGGGCAAUGGGCGCAAGCCUGACCCAGCAACGCCGCGUGCAGGAAGAAGGCUUUCGGGUUGUAAACUUCUUUUGUCAGGGACGAAGCACGUGACGGUCCCUGACUACUACUCCACGGCUAACUACGUGCCAGCAGCCGCGGUAAUCCGUAGGUGGCAAGCGUUAUCCGGAUUUACUGGGUGUAAAGGGCGGGUAGGCGGGGAAGCAAGUCAGAUGUGAAAACCCCGGGCUCAACCUGUGGCCUGCCUUUGAAACUGUUUUUCUUGAGUGCGGGAGAGGCAAUCGGAAUUCCGUGUGUAGCGGUGAAAUGCGUAGAUAUACGGAGGAACACCAGUGGCGAAGGCGGAUUGCUGGACAGUAACUGACGCUGAGGCGCGAAAGCGUGGGGAGCAAACAGGAUUAGAUACCCGAGUAGUC